AUACCGCAUAAGCCCACGACCCGGCAUCGGGUAGAGGGAAAAGGAGCAAUCCGCUUUGAGAUGGCCUCGCGUCCGAUUAGCUAGUUGGUGAGGUAACGGCCCACCAAGGCGACGAUCGGUAGCCGGACUGAGAGGUUGAACGGCCACAUUGGGACUGAGACACGGCCCAGACUCCUACGGGAGGCAGCAGUGGGGAAUAUUGCACAAUGGGGGAAACCCUGAUGCAGCGACGCCGCGUGGAGGAAGAAGGUCUUCGGAUUGUAAACUCCUGUUGUUGAGGAAGAUAAUGACGGUACUCAACAAGGAAGUGACGGCUAACUACGUGCCAGCAGCCGCGGUAAAACGUAGGUCACAAGCGUUGUCCGGAAUUACUGGGUGUAAAGGGAGCGCAGGCGGGAAGACAAGUUGGAAGUGAAAUCCAUGGGCUCAACCCAUGAACUGCUUUCAAAACUGUUUUUCUUGAGUAGUGCAGAGGUAGGCGGAAUUCCCGGUGUAGCGGUGGAAUGCGUAGAUAUCGGGAGGAACACCAGUGGCGAAGGCGGCCUACUGGGCACCAACUGACGCUGAGGCUCGAAAGUGUGGGUAGCAAACAGGAUUAGAUACCCUGGUAGUCCACACUGUAAACGAUGAUUACUAGGUGUUGGAGGAUUGACCCCUUCAGUGCCGCAGUUAACACAAUAAGUAAUCCAC
rnacentral:rRNA from 1 species